GAUGAAGAACGCAGCGAAAUGCGAUAUGUAGUGUGAAUUGCAGAAUUCAGUGAAUCAUCGAAUCUUUGAACGCACAUUGCGCUCUCUGGUAUUCCGGGGAGCAUGCUCGUUUCAGAAUCAUUAACAUUCUCAAAGGCACGGUUCUCGCAUUUUUGCGAGGCUGGAUCUUUCGGAUGUGAGCCUCUUUGCUUUGAUGCAAUGGCUUGAAAAUGAUUGUGUUUGCUACCGGCCUUAUGGUUCGGUUCUCUCAAGUGCAACAGAUGUUAAUUCAUUUCGUUAAACUCUUGAUGAGGAACGUUCCUCAACCGGUGUUUGGCUUACACUCCAUCAAUUAUACCUUCAGCGAUACGUGUAUCGCUGUUUGAUAACUUGGUCUGAAAUCGAGCAAGAAAACCCGCUGAACUUAAGCAUAUCAAUAAGCGGAGGA
rnacentral:misc_RNA from 1 species